AAUAAGAUGGCUGAGUAAGCGGUAAAUUGUAAAUUUAUUAACGGGUUUCCUCUUAUUA
rnacentral:tRNA from 1 species